CCGAGCACACGACCCCGGCCUGAGGUUGGUGGUGGGAAGCCCACCGCCGUUUGCUGCGACCUCAUGGAGGGUGGCGCAGGGAGUAGCAACAAAUCUACCAGCGGUUUAGCUGGCUUUUUCGGAGCCGGAGGAGCGGGUUACUGGAACGCUGAUCUGAUCUGGCCGGCGUCCCGCUGACUGGUAUGAACCCCCUGUCUCCUUAUUUAAAUGUGGAUACUGAUGAAUUUAUUUUGCCAACUGGAGCUAAUAAAACCCGAGGCAGAUUUGAGCUAGCUUUCUUUACCAUUGGAGGGUGUUGCAUGACAGGGGCUGCAUUCGGGGCAAUGAACGGUCUUCGUUUAGGAUUGAAGGAAACCCAGAGCAUGGCCUGGUCCAAACCAAGAAAUGUACAGAUUUUGAAUAUGGUGACUAGGCAAGGGGCACUUUGGGCUAAUACUCUAGGUUCCCUGGCUUUGCUCUAUAGUGCUUUUGGUGUUAUCAUUGAGAAAACACGGGGUGCAGAAGAUGACCUCAACACAGUAGCAGCUGGAACCAUGACAGGAAUGUUGUAUAAAUGUACAAGUGGUCUUCGAGGAAUAGCACGAGGUGGCCUGGCAGGACUGACACUCACCAGUCUCUAUGCACUGUAUAACAACUGGGAGCACAUGAAAGGUUCCCUGCUCCAACAGUCACUCUGAAGAUUUUUGCCACCUCGGGAGUGGGGGACACUUCAUAGUCAUCCAGAUCAAUUAAUAAGUCAGUCUGGAGUUGCUUUCUCUCUUGUACCUACAAUUACUUUGAACAAUUGGAGACUCUGAUUUGCUGUGACAAAGAUCAUGGAUGGUUAGCCUGGACUGCACUGCUUGCCCUCAGUGAGUGGAAGCCAAACCCUUUGGUGGUUCACUGAGUAUGUGUUCUCUUCUCCUUUGGAGAUGAUCUUGCACCUCUUAUCCCCAAACUGGAAAACCACUUACUCUCCAAAUUCAGGCCAUACUUUUAUUACCAUGUUAAUUCAUUUAAAAAUCUAAAACUUAAUGUUGCCCUGUUUUCCAAAUAAAGGGUGAAAAUAGAACCAAAGUUAUAAUUCCAACA